GACGUAGGGUGCAAGCGUUGUCCGGAAUUAUUGGGCGUAAAGAGUUCGUAGGCGAUUUAUCAAGUCUGGUGUUAAAGACUGGGGCUCAACCCCGGCACGGCAUUGGAAACUGGUAGGUUAGAGUGUGGUAGAGGCAAGGGGAAUUCCCGGUGUAGCGGUGAAAUGCGUAGAUAUCAGGAGGAACACCGGUGGCGAAGGCGGCUUGCUGGGCCUUACCUGACGCUGAGGAGCGAAAGCGUGGGGAGCGAACAGG
rnacentral:rRNA from 1 species